CAACCUACCUCAUACUCGGGGAUAGCCUUUCGAAAGAAAGAUUAAUAUCCGAUAGCAUAUAUUCCCGCAUGGGUUUUAUAUUAAAGAAAUUCGGUAUGAGAUGGGGAUGCGUUCCAUUAGUUUGUUGGGGGGGGUAACGGCCCACCAAGACUACGAUGGAUAGGGGUUCUGAGAGGAAGGUCCCCCACAUUGGAACUGAGACACGGUCCAAACUCCUACGGGAGGCAGCAGUGAGGAAUAUUGGUCAAUGGACGCGAGUCUGAACCAGCCAAGUAGCGUGAAGGAUGACUGCCCUAUGGGUUGUAAACUUCUUUUAUAUGGGAAUAAAGUGGUCCACGUGUGGACUUUUGUAUGUACCAUAUGAAUAAGGAUCGGCUAACUCCGUGCCAGCAGCCGCGGUAAUACGGAGGAUCCGAGCGUUAUCCGGAUUUAUUGGGUUUAAAGGGAGCGUAGGCGGAUUGUUAAGUCAGUUGUGAAAGUUUGCGGCUCAACCGUAAAAUUGCAGUUGAUACUGGCAGUCUUGAGUGCAGUAGAGGUGGGCGGAAUUCGUGGUGUAGCGGUGAAAUGCUUAGAUAUCACGAAGAACUCCGAUUG
rnacentral:rRNA from 1 species